AUUGAACGCUGGCGGCAGGCUUAACACAUGCAAGUCGAGCGAGCGGCGGACGGGUGAGUAAUGUAUGGGGACUGCCCGUUAGCGGGGGAUUACGACUGGAAACGGUAGUUAAUUCCGGAUUCUAUCGGAUAACCCAUAUGGGAUUAGCUAGUAGGUGAGGUAAUGGCUCACCUAGGCGGCGAUCCCUAGCUGGUCUGAGAGGAUGAUCAGCCACACUGGAACUGAGACACGGCCCAGACUCCUGCGGAGGCAGCAGUGGGGAAUAUUGCACAGUGGGCGCAAGCCUGAUGCAGCCAUGCCGCGUGUAUGAAGAAGGCCCUAGGGUUGUAAAGUACUUUCAGUCGGGAGGCGUUACCGACAGAAGAAGCACCGGCUAACUCCGUGCCAGCAGCCGCGGUAAUUC
rnacentral:rRNA from 1 species